UCUUUGAUAGUAUAUCGGUUAGUACACGCGCCUGUCAUUACCGAGGCCGCAGGAUGACGCGCGAAAGCUGGGUUCGACUCCCAGUCAGAGAG